GGUUAAGCGACUAAGCGUACACGGUGGAUGCCCUGGCAGUCAGAGGCGAUGAAGGACGUGCUAAUCUGCGAUAAGCGUCGGUAAGGUGAUAUGAACCGUUAUAACCGGCGAUUUCCGAAUGGGGAAACCCAGUGUGAUUCGUCACACUAUCAUUAACUGAAUCCAUAGGUUAAUGAGGCGAACCGGGGGAACUGAAACAUCUAAGUACCCCGAGGAAAAGAAAUCAACCGAGAUUCCCCCAGUAGCGGCGAGCGAACGGGGAGCAGCCCAGAGCCUGAAUCAGUGUGUGUGUUAGUGGAAGCGUCUGGAAAGGCGCGCGAUACAGGGUGACAGCCCCGUACACAAAAAUGCACAUAUUGUGAGCUCGAUGAGUAGGGCGGGACACGUGGUAUCCUGUCUGAAUAUGGGGGGACCAUCCUCCAAGGCUAAAUACUCCUGACUGACCGAUAGUGAACCAGUACCGUGAGGGAAAGGCGAAAAGAACCCCGGCGAGGGGAGUGAAAAAGAACCUGAAACCGUGUACGUACAAGCAGUGGGAGCACGCUUAGGCGUGUGACUGCGUACCUUUUGUAUAAUGGGUCAGCGACUUAUAUUCUGUAGCAAGGUUAACCGAAUAGGGGAGCCGAAGGGAAACCGAGUCUUAACUGGGCGUUAAGUUGCAGGGUAUAGACCCGAAACCCGGUGAUCUAGCCAUGGGCAGGUUGAAGGUUGGGUAACACUAACUGGAGGACCGAACCGACUAAUGUUGAAAAAUUAGCGGAUGACUUGUGGCUGGGGGUGAAAGGCCAAUCAAACCGGGAGAUAGCUGGUUCUCCCCGAAAGCUAUUUAGGUAGCGCCUCGUGAAUUCAUCUCCGGGGGUAGAGCACUGUUUCGGCAAGGGGGUCAUCCCGACUUACCAACCCGAUGCAAACUGCGAAUACCGGAGAAUGUUAUCACGGGAGACACACGGCGGGUGCUAACGUCCGUCGUGAAGAGGGAAACAACCCAGACCGCCAGCUAAGGUCCCAAAGUCAUGGUUAAGUGGGAAACGAUGUGGGAAGGCCCAGACAGCCAGGAUGUUGGCUUAGAAGCAGCCAUCAUUUAAAGAAAGCGUAAUAGCUCACUGGUCGAGUCGGCCUGCGCGGAAGAUGUAACGGGGCUAAACCAUGCACCGAAGCUGCGGCAGCGACGCUGAUGCGUUGUUGGGUAGGGGAGCGUUCUGUAAGCCUGCGAAGGUGUGCUGUGAGGCAUGCUGGAGGUAUCAGAAGUGCGAAUGCUGACAUAAGUAACGAUAAAGCGGGUGAAAAGCCCGCUCGCCGGAAGACCAAGGGUUCCUGUCCAACGUUAAUCGGGGCAGGGUGAGUCGACCCCUAAGGCGAGGCCGAAAGGCGUAGUCGAUGGGAAACAGGUUAAUAUUCCUGUACUUGGUGUUACUGCGAAGGGGGGACGGAGAAGGCUAUGUUGGCCGGGCGACGGUUGUCCCGGUUUAAGCGUGUAGGCUGGUUUUCCAGGCAAAUCCGGAAAAUCAAGGCUGAGGCGUGAUGACGAGGCACUACGGUGCUGAAGCAACAAAUGCCCUGCUUCCAGGAAAAGCCUCUAAGCAUCAGGUAACAUCAAAUCGUACCCCAAACCGACACAGGUGGUCAGGUAGAGAAUACCAAGGCGCUUGAGAGAACUCGGGUGAAGGAACUAGGCAAAAUGGUGCCGUAACUUCGGGAGAAGGCACGCUGAUAUGUAGGUGAGGUCCCUCGCGGAUGGAGCUGAAAUCAGUCGAAGAUACCAGCUGGCUGCAACUGUUUAUUAAAAACACAGCACUGUGCAAACACGAAAGUGGACGUAUACGGUGUGACGCCUGCCCGGUGCCGGAAGGUUAAUUGAUGGGGUUAGCGCAAGCGAAGCUCUUGAUCGAAGCCCCGGUAAACGGCGGCCGUAACUAUAACGGUCCUAAGGUAGCGAAAUUCCUUGUCGGGUAAGUUCCGACCUGCACGAAUGGCGUAAUGAUGGCCAGGCUGUCUCCACCCGAGACUCAGUGAAAUUGAACUCGCUGUGAAGAUGCAGUGUACCCGCGGCAAGACGGAAAGACCCCGUGAACCUUUACUAUAGCUUGACACUGAACAUUGAGCCUUGAUGUGUAGGAUAGGUGGGAGGCUUGGAAGUGUGGACGCCAGUCUGCAUGGAGCCGACCUUGAAAUACCACCCUUUAAUGUUUGAUGUUCUAACGUUGACCCGUAAUCCGGGUUGCGGACAGUGUCUGGUGGGUAGUUUGACUGGGGCGGUCUCCUCCUAAAGAGUAACGGAGGAGCACGAAGGUUGGCUAAUCCUGGUCGGACAUCAGGAGGUUAGUGCAAUGGCAUAAGCCAGCUUGACUGCGAGCGUGACGGCGCGAGCAGGUGCGAAAGCAGGUCAUAGUGAUCCGGUGGUUCUGAAUGGAAGGGCCAUCGCUCAACGGAUAAAAGGUACUCCGGGGAUAACAGGCUGAUACCGCCCAAGAGUUCAUAUCGACGGCGGUGUUUGGCACCUCGAUGUCGGCUCAUCACAUCCUGGGGCUGAAGUAGGUCCCAAGGGUAUGGCUGUUCGCCAUUUAAAGUGGUACGCGAGCUGGGUUUAGAACGUCGUGAGACAGUUCGGUCCCUAUCUGCCGUGGGCGCUGGAGAACUGAGGGGGGCUGCUCCUAGUACGAGAGGACCGGAGUGGACGCAUCACUGGUGUUCGGGUUGUCAUGCCAAUGGCACUGCCCGGUAGCUAAAUGCGGAAGAGAUAAGUGCUGAAAGCAUCUAAGCACGAAACUUGCCCCGAGAUGAGUUCUCCCUGACCCUUUAAGGGUCCUGAAGGAACGUUGAAGACGACGACGUUGAUAGGCCGGGUGUGUAAGCGCAGCGAUGCGUUGAGCUAACCGGUACUAAUGAACCGUGAGGCUUAACCUU
rnacentral:rRNA from 1 species